UGGAGUUAUGCUGUAAAGGCAUGGAGAGUUGAAUUGAACUUGGUUUACCUUCACCUUUACCUUUUGGUUUUUGCAUAAUUAGAACUACAAUAGGUUAUAUUGAACAUAUCAUCUUUUAGUCCGAGUUUGUGAAGUAUGCAGGAGAUUGUUUUUUUCCUUCUUGUUGUAGAAACUUGGUAUUUCAGUGUAAAUAGUACAUAUGCAUUUGUCUGUAUGAUGCUCUUUUAUCUUGUCCGAUUCUUCAUCUACUAAUUGAAUCUUGGAUAAGUGAUCGAUGGUCUUCUUUUUAACUUUCCAUUCUCGAGAAUUUUUCAUGUGCUGGUGAUAAGAUUAGGGUUUACAGUGGCUGCCUUUUAGGAUUUUUUUACAGAUGAACAGUUUUAUCUGAUGGAGGAAUUAGGCGCGGGUAGCUUUGGAACCUUUAUGGCUGUAACUGGAUUGGGAGAUUAUCGUGAAGUUUUGAUUAUGCAGAAUAUUUAUAAAGAGUUUUGAAAAACAAUGGCGAUGCACACUCUGAGGGUUGGAAAUGCAGGUAGGAAUGUUAGGAAUUACUAAAUUCCUAAAAGUACAAAGGAUGAUAAAUAUGUUAAGUACACGUUAAUUAAUCAUGGAGGCGUAGUUGAACAGUUGGAUGUUGUAUGGUUGGUUGGUUGGUUGAUUAGGCAACUAUUUUGCACAUGUCUGACCUUCAAGAGACAAAUAUACAAUUCUUGAGAAGAGAGAUUGCAUGACAAAUGAAAAAUUGGAUUCUUUUUCCAUGAAGCUCUAAUAUUUGAGUCAGGUUACAUCAACUAAAACUAACAUGUUUGGGUGAAGAUUUAGAGAAGGGGAAGGUUCUCUUGAUUGCUUUAUUCGAUUUGGCUGAUGAGAUUUUACUUAAGGCAAAAGGGGAUUGUAAACCUGAAUCAGCAGAGAGGGGAUUGUAAACCUGAAUCAGCAGAGACUCGCCACGCGACUGUUGAUAUGGUGCUCCUUUUGCUAAUUGUAUGCGCCUGCUUAUAUUCAUGGAAAGGGAUGACUGCCCUGCUUAAGAUUGGAUAUGGGUGCAAGUAAUUUCAUUAGGCGUUAGGCACCUAUGAUAGAUAGUUGGAAACGCUUUUGGUCGUUAAUAACUGGUUUCAAUCUAUUUUUAUUUGAAAUCUGAAUUGGAUCAGUGUCAAAAUUCAGACCGUGCAACUUUAAGAGUAAUGACAGAAAAGAAAGAGUAAUGAUUUAGUUGUCACUCCUUGAACUUAUUAUUAUUUUUCUGCAUCACAUUUCACAUAAAUAGUGAAAGAUACACUGCAACUUUAAGCUGCAUCCAGGAGUAGGAAUUAGCAAUAUGCAUAAUAGCCAGCGCCAUACCUGGCCACACAUCCUUUAUUGCCUUCAUCUUUUUGACAGACACCUCCAUGCAAUGGUUUCUCUCAUUGGCCAGCAACAUUUGCCAGCAUCUUCUCGCUACCUGCACUCAUUAAGAAAUAAUCAAGUCAUCGAAGUAAUCUUGACAUAAUCUUCAUAUAUUUGAGAGCACUGCUGCCACGUUUAGUAAUAGGAACUCUGUUUAAAAUUUGAAUUUUUCAAGCAUUUCCUGAAAAGUGCCCAAAUUUAAAAACAUGGGUGUGCAAGUAUCUCUAUGAAACAACACUGGGACGUUUUAUCGAAGGACUUGGAUGUGUGAAUUUCGAUCAGGUUUUAGUGAGCAAACAAUUCGUUAUCUACCUUAGCCAACAAAAAAUAAAGCAGCACGGGGUUGAACCGUUGAAGGAACAUUUUACCAGAAGAGAUAAAGAGAAUAACAAAAAGGAGGAUGGCAAAAACUGAAAGGCUCUUCCAAGGCGUCCACAUUACCUAAUUGCAAAGUGUAGGAUUUGUUUGUGAAGAUAUGGAUGCAGCUUCUGAUGUUGUGUAGGAAGCAUUUGCCAGUAUUUAUAAGGAGCAUUUGUGCCUAGAUUUCUCAAUUUUUUGGUUGAAUUAUUGUUUUAAAAAUGAUUAAAAAAAAAAAAAAGGUUGCCAAGUUUUUAUGGCGUUGCCAUAUUAUAUGAUAAAACUGCCACGUAGCAUAAACAUUGCCGUAAAAAGGAGAUGUAUGUCUAUUUUCCCAACAAUUUCCCCAGAAAUAACUCAAGUGUUAUUGAAUGUUUAUUGACAAGAGAAGACAUCCCUUAAGAACACUUGCCUUAAAUCACACAAAACCAAUUGAUACAAGACACUGCAAACUUAGAAACCGUUUGGGAACCUCCCAAAAAAUUCAAUAUUUUUUUAAUUAAAAUUUAAUAUAUUUUAUAUAUUUUAAAUUGUUUUAAUGUGUUAAUAUUAAAAUAAUUUUUAAAAAAUAAAAAAAUAUCAUUAAUAUAUAUAUUUUAAUAUUUAAAAAACAAUCAUUAUAACCUUAGCACGAGUAUGAGAUAUUAAACCAAAAUGCUUAGGCACAAUCCAAGCCCAAACUAUCUACCAGAUUUGUGACGCGGCAUCGUAUUACUUGUGAAUUCCUCCACAAAACGUCAUGUCAGUCUUACCCCUGCAUGAAAAACUAAAAAGACCCCCAAAACCCUCUAAAUCUCGAAAGUACCCCACGAACCCAAUUCCUUAAACCCUUCCCAGUUCACUCAACCCUCUCUCCGUCACCAAACCCGACCCGCCCAGGACGAUCCACAGUUCGUUCACUCGCCGCCAAAGCUUGAAGGCAGUCUCAUUUAAGCUGGCGACAAUAAGAACCCGAUUUCGAAACGCCUCUGAUGAGAAAUUUUGUUAAUGUUGUAGCGAGAUCCUUCUUCCUAUCAAGCAGCCUCCUUUUUCAUCUUCACAAAGUUCGUUUCUUCCUUCGGAAGAAUUGUAUCACAUCCAUCCCAGUUGGUUCUCAUUGGAUUUUGCCCCACGUUGCCACAAUUACUGAAGUCAUUGGUCAUUACAAGCAACUCACAACACGAACGUCUUUUGAUGAAGAGGAGAUCAAGGAUGAUAACUUGAAUCAAAUGCUUGAAGCUGUUGAAAAUGCCCCAGAAUGCACUACUAGGAAAGUCGGAACUGCUUAUGUCCAUAACUUAUGUAAAGCUGGAACUCUUUUUGCUGCGGUUAGACUGCUGCGAUUGUUACGCGAUAAAAACAUUUUCCUUGGUCCUAGUGCUUAUAAUAUAAUUUUGGUGACAGCUAGUGAAAAAAACGAUGUUGAGAUUUUGUCCCAGGUUUUCAAGGAUUUGAUCUUGUCUUUUCAGUCUUUGCCUUCAUCUUUGUAUCUGAAACUUGCCAGGGGUUUUGUGAAGUCAAAUGAUGAUGUCCAGCUACUGAGACUCGUCAAGGAAGUUUCUGAAUUGACAUUCCCAAGUAGCACGAAGGUUGUAAAUAGAUUUAUCUUUGCCUUUGCUGAAUGUGGGCAGUUUGACAAAGCCAUUCUGAUAUUUGAGCAGAUGGAGAAUCUGAAAUGUAAGCCAGAUUUGGUUACGUAUAAUACUGUUUUGGAUCUUUUAGGUCGUGCAGGUCGGAUUGAUGAAAUGCUCGAUGAGUUUGCCUCCAUGAAGGAAGCAGGAAUUCUCCCGGAUUUUAUUUCUUACAAUACUUUGCUAAAUCAGUUGGCCAAAGUAGGAAGAUUGGAUUUGUGUUCAGUGUAUUUCCAAGACAUGGUUGAGAAUGGAAUUGAACCAGAUUUGCUUACAUACACUGCAUUGAUUUGGAGUUUUGGCCAAUCCGGAAACAUUGAGGAGUCAUUGAGACUCUUUAAUGAGAUGAAAACAAAGCAGAUUCGUCCCUCAAUUUAUAUAUAUCGAUCAUUAAUUGCUAGUUUGAAGAAGAUGGGAAAGGUUGAAUUGGCAAUGAUCUUUUUGGAGGAGAUGAAUGCAUCAAUGUCAAACCUAGCUGGUCCCAAGGAUUUCAAACGAACACACAGAUAGUCGCACACAGCGAAGGAAGGGUUUUUGCAAUUCAAAGGAGAGUACUUGGUUCAGAAGUUAGCUUAAGCUAGUGAAUAAUUGCCGACUCAUCUUAAGGCCAAGGCAAGAAGAUGUUACUCGAACUGGUUUGGGUGGCGGCCUGUCACCAGUUCUUCACGGUGGGUUCCUUGGUGAUCCUAGUCAGGUGAUUUGAGUACUAUUUUUAUUUUAUAGUGCCCCAGCUAGCUAGUUGGUGCCUGCAAGUGAUUCACAAUUUUUUUUUUUUUUCAUUUGGUGCAAGUGACUCAUAAUACUUGACUGCACAGCCCUGGUAACUCGAUCGUGGCCUUGGGUCCUAAUAGAAGAAAUACACGGUCUCUUUUGUCAAAUCAAUCAUAUUCUCUACAUUUAUAGAUGAUUGCAAAUUUGUUUCAUAAGCUAGCUAGCUUGUCAUGAUAGGAGGCACCAUAUUUAACCUACCUCUUUGUUUGGUUGUUGUUGUUGGUUUCUCACUAAACAAAAACUGUGAUAUCUCAAUGAUGGAAAUCCCCAGCCAAUUCGUUGACUUGAA